UGGAGGAACCGCGGGCCAAACUAUUUCAAAUCAGAGGAGUUGUGCUUAUCUACCGCAAGAGUUGCAUGAAAUCCAGGAGGGUGCGUGUCUUGCCAGAACACCGGUUCCAAUUUAAGAGCAAGCUGCAACCAACAGUCUAUCCACAGUGCGAAGCCACUUCAAAGGAAGACCAUACAGAUGCUCCAAUUGUGCAUGCAAAGAUGAACACGGCUCUGAGGCAGUACAUCAAAGCGUGCAUUAAAUAGCUACGUCAGCAGGGCUUCUUUCCAAACCGGCACCUCUUUUGAGAGCAGAAGUUGGCGGCGAGGCGGUGAUGGUGAUGCUGAAUGAAGCUACACGGCCUCAACCUUCACAGUGGAAGAAGCGUUCACAGUGACUCGAGGUACCUUUUCUAUAGUCAAAGCCUUCCCAAUACAGCGAUGCAUAGUCAUGAGGGCCACAGUGAGGAGAGUAAGGCAUAAGGAGAACCCAUUCUUACUUCUUCAAAAAAGGUAAACAAACUCAAUACCAAGUAGAUUUGUGAGAAGCGCUGUGUGCGCUCUCUACCUAAAAAGAGUGUAAACAUUUUUAAAUGGCUCUUUUUUUUCUCCUCUCCUUAAGUUUGCAACACGUAGAAAUCCUAAACCGUCAACAAACAAGACACUGGUCUAUGUAUAAAAAACAGAGAACAAAAUUGCUACCUUUUUUUUUUUUUUUUACCUUUGACUACUGUUGGCAAAAGUAUUCACUGUCCACAAUAUUAGGUACACCUACACAAUCUAAUGUAAUAAUCUAUUAAAAGAUCACAGGUAAAUCACACA